AGCCUGAACGCUGGCGGCGUGGCUAAGACAUGCAAGUCGCACGGAUGUAGCAAUACAUUAGUGGCGAACGGGUGAGUAAUGAAUCGCUAACGUACCCUGAACUCUGGGAUAGCUAGUCGAAAGAUUAGGUAAUACCGGAUAACAUAUCCUUUCUGCAUGGAGAGGAUCUCAAAGGAGUAAUCCGGUUGAGGAGCGGGCGAUUUCGUAUCAGCUAGUUGGUGAGGUAACGGCUCACCAAGGCGAUGACGCGUAGCCGGACUGAGAGGUUGGCCGGCCACAUUGGGACUGAGACACUGCCCAGACUCCUACGGGGGGCUGCAGUAACGAUCUUCGCAAUGCACGCAAGUGUGACGGAGCGACGCCGCGUGUGGGAUGAAGUUCUUCGGAAUGUAAACCACUGUCAGGGGUUAGAAAGUUCUGAUCAACCCAGAGGAAGGCACGGCUAACUCUGUGCCAGCAGCCGCGGUAA
rnacentral:rRNA from 1 species